rnacentral:rRNA from 1 species
UACGUAGGGGGCAAGCGUUGUCCGGAAUUAUUGGGCGUAAAGGGCUCGUAGGUGGCCAACUAAGUCGGACGUGAAAUCCCUCGGCUUAACCGGGGAACUGCGUCCGAUACUGGUUGGCUUGAGUUUGGGAGAGGGAUGCGGAAUUCCUGGUGUAGCGGUGAAGUGCGCAGAUAUCAGGAGGAACACCGGUGGCGAAGGCGGUUCUCUGGGCAUUACCUGACGCUGAGGAGCGAAAGUGUGGGGAGCGAACAGG